rnacentral:rRNA from 1 species
UCAUUAAAAGUAACUCCUGCUCAAUGACAAAAUCAAUAGCCGCAGAUUUAUCUGUGCUAAGGUAGCAUAAUCACUUGCCUUAUAAUUCGAGGAUAGUAUGAACGGAAGCCCGCGUUUUAGCUUGUUUCAAUCAACUAAAUUAAAAUUUAAAUAAAAGUAAAAAUUCUUUUACAGAAAAAAAAGACGACAAGACCCUGCUGAACUUUACUAAAGUUACGCUGGGGAGGCCUUUUAAAAAAAUCUUAAUAACUGAAUUACAACCCCAACUUAUCAAAAUCCUACAAGUUACCACAGGGAUAACAGCAUAAUAGUUUUUUACAGCUCUUAUUAAAAAAAAAGAUUGUGACCUCGAUGUUGAAUUAAGAUAUCUACAAAUAUACAAUCGCAAAAGAUUCGAAAGAAAGUCUGUUCGACUUUUAAAUUCUUACA